GAAGAAGAAAGGUGACUCCCAGGGUCUGGGCCAAGGAAGGGUUUUGGAAAGGAAAGGGGACUCACAACAGGGCAUGCUUGGGAGGUAUUAAGGCUUUCAACCCUCGCCAAGGCGAAUAACAUGAGACUGUAAGUUAGCUAUAUAUAGUGUGUAACCUGAAAAUGCCUCCCCUUGCACCACUUGCACUGUUGAACUUAUAGUGAGUCCCUCUGUGGAGGGUGGAGUGGGGGAAGAGGUUCUGCUGGGGACAGACAAAGGUAGGGAAGCACUCACUGGCUUUGAAGAACUUCCUUGCUUUUUAUGCCUAGGGUGUAACCAGAGACCAGUGUCAACAAGGAAUCUGGCUUGGAACGCUUUUGUCUGCAGCCCUCUUUGGAGCGUGACUUGCUCUUUCAGAGGUCAGUGAAUUGUAAAUUGUGUAAUUUCAGGAUCUGCCUAUGCAGGGUCAGGAGACUUUUGAGGGGGUUGGUGGGAGAAGCAUGGGUGGUGUCACUCAGACACCUAGGAAACUCUUGACCUGGUCUAUCUUUAAGACCAGGUCAGCCAUAUGAAAUCCUUACGUUGACAGGAGGGCAGAAAAUAUAUGUGGUUUUGGGUGUUAACAUCUGAAUUUGCUGUAGCAAACGGAUCUCUGGCAAGUCUCUGAAGUAAAGUAAUUUCCUAAGUUGAGAGGGGGCAAAAGCAAAACAGUCAGUUAUUUGGUAUGCUUAAUCACACUUUUCUGGUUGUAACUGUGUGUUGUGGCCUAUGAAAGACCACACUCUGUGCUCUGAGGAAGGGUACUAAGCUGGGAGGUCCUAAAGGUUGGGGCUAGGUCUUGAUCAUUUUCGAUCUGCAUUUCCUCUCCCCUACCUUCGGCUUAGCAAAGGAUUUGACAUUCAUGCAUGCACUCAGCAAAAAUCGACUGGGUAUUUAUCUUCUUCCAGCCACUGUGUUAAGUCCUGGGGCCAUAGAUAUGUACAGAACAAAUCAGCUCUUGCUGUCUCCAGAACUUAAUCUACCCGGGCUAGGGGGAGGCAAACAAUGAAAUUAACAUAUGAUAUGUCAGUUGGCAAGACUUGCUACCAGAAAAAUAAAAUAAAAAUGAAGAGGAUACAAGAGAGAGGGGUGGUAUCUCUGGGGAAGGGCAAUUGGAGCCGAAGUGAGGGAGCGAGCCUGCUGCCCGCUGAAGGAAGCUGUCCAAAGCAGAGGGGGUGUUCUGGAAAGGGUGGAGGGAAAGUGGCAGAAGGGGCAUCCCUAUCUGUCACAAAUCCCUCUAGCAUCAUUGGAUCAGCAGAUCGUAUGAGCUAGGGCAUCUUGCGUGGCAGCUUGGAUCUGCUCCAGAGCUCUCUGUUCUGGGCCCCACACAAAACUGACAGCCUCUUAAGUCACUCAACACGUUGGUAGAAGAAGUAUUCCCCAAUAGACAUGGGUUUUCACCAUGGUGGCCAGGCUGGUCUGGAACUCCUGACCUCAUGAUCCACCUGCCUUGGCCUCCCAAAGUGCUGGGAUUCAAGAGCAGCCUGGGCAACGUGGUGAAAGCCCAUUUCUACAAAAAAAUGCAAAAAUUAGCAGAGUGUGUUGGUGCAUGCCUGUGGUCUCAGCUACUCGGGA
rnacentral:lncRNA from 1 species